CGGCGGACGGGUGAGUAACACGUGGAUAACCUACCUAUAAGACUGGGAUAACUUCGGGAAACCGGAGCUAAUACCGGAUAAUAUAUUGAACCGCAUGGUUCAAUAGUUAAAGACGGUUUUGCUGUCACUUAUAGAUGGAUCCGCGCCGCAUUAGCUAGUUGGUAAGGUAACGGCUUACCAAGGCAACUAUGCGUAGCCGACCUGAGAGGGUGAUCGGCCACACUGGAACUGAGACACGGUCCAG
rnacentral:rRNA from 1 species